AGUCUGGUGCCAGCAGCCGCGGUAAUUCCAGCUCCAAUAGCGUAUAUUAAAGUUGCUGCUGUUAAAAAGCUCGUAGUUGGAUUUCUGAUGUAAUGUAUUUGUCCCGCUGUGGUUACACAUGUGAGUGACGAAUUACGUUCAUCUGUCUUGUGUUUUUAUUAGUAGAUUGUGAAAGCAAUUUAUUAAUGAUACACAUCUUUUACUUUGAACAAAUUAGAGUGUUUCAAGCAGGCGUCAAGCCCUGAAUACAUGAGCAUGGAAUAAUCAUCGAGGACUUUUAGUUCUUUGUUGGUUGGUUCUAGAACUAUAGUAAUGAUGGAUAGGGAUAGUUGGGGGUGCUAGUAUUCCAAGGCCAAAGGUGAAAUUCUUGGAUUCUUGGAAGACUCACUUAGGCGAAAGCAUUCACCAAGGAUGUCUUCAUUAAUCAAGAACGAAAGUUGGGGGAUCGAAGACGAUCAGAUACCGUCGUAGUCUCAACCAUAAACUAUGCCGACUAGGGAUGAGAUAAUGUUGAAUUUUCGACUUGUUUCGCACCUCAUGAGAAAUCAAAGUCUUUGGGUUCAUGGGGAAGUAUGGUCGCAAGGCUGAAACUUAAAGGAAUUGACGGAAGGGCACCACCAGGAGUGGAGCCUGCGGCUUAAUUUGACCCAACACGGGAAAACUUACCAGGUCCGGACAUAGUGAGGAUUGACAGGUUGAAGACCUUUCUUAAUUCUGUGGGUGGUGGUGCAUGGCCGUUCUUAGUUGGUGGAGUGAUUUGUCUGGUUAAUUCCGUUAACGAACGAGACCUCGACCUGCUAAAUAGUUUGUUAAAUGAUUCGUUAUUUACACAAACUUCUUAGAGGAACUGCUGCCGUUCUAGGCAGAGGAAGUACGAGGCAAUAACAGGUCUGUGAUGCCCUUAGAUGUUCUGGGCCGCACGCGCGCUACACUGAUAGAUUCAUCGAGUAUUUUCAUCCUUAACUGUUAAGUUUGGGUAAUCUUUGAAUGUCUAUCGUGCUGGGGAUAGAUGAUUGUAAUUUUUCAUCUUCAACGAGGAAUUCCUAGUAAACGCAAGUCAUCAACUUGCAUUGAUUACGUCCCUGCCCUUUGUACACACCGCCCGUCGCUACUACCGAUUGAAUGGAUUAGUGAGCUUCAAGGAUUGAUGUAUGUUUGGUUCUCCAAAUAUAUGUUAAGAAUUGAAUCAAACUUGCUCAUUUAGAGGAAGUAAAAGUCGUAACAAGGUCUCCGUAGGUGAACCUGCGGAGG
rnacentral:rRNA from 1 species